rnacentral:rRNA from 1 species
UUAAUAAGCGGAGGAAAAGAAACUAACAAGGAUUCCCUCAGUAACGGCGAGUGAAGCGGGAAGAGCUCAAAUUUGAAAUCUCCGAUGCCCGCAUCGGCGAGUUGUAGUUGCGAGAAGCACUUUCUAGGCGGACUCGGCCCUGCCUAAGUUGCUUGGAACGGCACGUCGCAGAGGGUGACAACCCCGUCUGUGGCAGGGCCGGCCGCCGACGAUGCGCUUUCGAAGAGUCGGGUUGUUUGGGAAUGCAGCCCAAAAGGGGUGGUAAACUCCAUCUAAAGCUAAAUACUGGCGUGAGACCGAUAGCGA